rnacentral:rRNA from 1 species
UACGGGGGGGGCAAGCGUUGUUCGGAAUUACUGGGCGUAAAGGGCUCGUAGGCGGCCAACUAAGUCAGACGUGAAAUCCCUCGGCUUAACCGGGGAACUGCAUCUGAUACUGGAUGGCUUGAGUUCGGGAGAGGGAUGCGGAAUUCCAGGUGUAGCGGUGAAAUGCGUAGAUAUCUGGAGGAACACCGGUGGCGAAGGCGGCAUCCUGGACCGACACUGACGCUGAUGCGCGAAAGCGUGGGGAGCAAACAGG